rnacentral:rRNA from 1 species
CCUACGGGAGGCAGCAGUAGGGAAUAUUGCUCAAUGGGGGAAACCCUGAAGCAGCAACGCCGCGUGGAGGAUGAAUGUUUUCGGAUUUUUAAACCCUUUUGUUAGAGGAGAUAAUGACGGUAUCUGUCCCAUAAGCAUCGGCUAACUCCGUGCCAGCACCCGCGGUACCACGGAGGCAGCAGGCGUUACUCGGAAUCACUGGGCGUAAAGCGCGCGUAGGCGGGGUAGCAAGUCAGAGGUGAAAGCCUAUGGCUUAACCAUAGAACUGCAUUUGAAACUGUUAGUCUAGAGUAUGGGAGAGGGAGGCGGAAUUCGUGGUGUAGGGGUAAAAUGCGUAGAGAUCAAGAGGAACACUCAUUGCGAAGGCGGCUUGCUAGAACAUAACUGACGCUGAUGCGCGAAAGCGUGGGGAGCAAACAGGAUUAGAUACCCCAGUAGUC